ACAUCUUAAUUUAUUUUUAUUUCUUUACAAAUUAAAGAUGCAUUGAAAAAUAAACCAAUGAAGAGAAAUGAGAGGUCCAGAGCAGGGGCAUCCCAGGCUGGGAGCAGGCAAGCCUGGCCACCAUCAAGCCUAGCCCUUGUCCUGCCCCAGCCAGCUCGGGUUGGAAGAUAACUGUCAGCCACUCUGUCAGUUCCAAAGCCUGAGUGGUGUCCUAGCAGGAGAGACUAGCCACUUCUGCCUCUCUCCCCAACAGCUUGGAGAGCAGUGUUUCCAGCGGAAGCUCAGAGUGGUAUAUAGGCUGGCUCUGUGAGGUAUUGC
rnacentral:lncRNA from 1 species